AUUGAACGCUGGCGGCAUGCCUUACACAUGCAAGUCGAACGGUAACAGGUCUUCGGAUGCUGACGAGUGGCGAACGGGUGAGUAAUACAUCGGAACGUGCCUAGUAGUGGGGGAUAACUACUCGAAAGAGUGGCUAAUACCGCAUGAGAUCUACGGAUGAAAGCAGGGGAUCGCAAGACCUUGUGCUACUAGAGCGGCCGAUGGCAGAUUAGGUAGCUGGUGGGAUAAAAGCUUACCAAGCCAACGAUCUGUAGCUGGUCUGAGAGGACGAUCAGCCACACUGGGACUGAGACACGGCCCAGACUCCUACGGGAGGCAGCAGUGGGGAAUUUUGGACAAUGUGCGAAAGCCUGAUCCAGCAAUGCCGCGUGCAGGAUGAAGGCCUUCGGGUUGUAAACUGCUUUUGUACGGAACGAAAAGCCCCGGGUUAAUACCCUGGGGUCAUGACGGUACCGUAAGAAUAAGCACCGGCUAACUACGUGCCAGCAGCCGCAGUAA
rnacentral:rRNA from 1 species